GUCAAUAAGGAAAGCAGGAAAGAAUGGGUGAAGCGAUAGGGCUACACACAAGUGACAUGGCGGUCAAGCUGAGGAAGGUCAGAUAGAGUGUGUGAGGAUUAAACAUGACCCAUCAAAGCAGUUGAAGAAAGCAAGAACAGUAGGACAAGAAAGCAUAGAGUUCGGAACUAUUUGAAGAAAACUGAACAGGUUGAGCCAAUCAACACUUUACUCCUCUACCAAGAAGCUGUUAAGCGGAAGAAUCAACCGAGCGAGAGGACACAGUACCUUGUUGAC
rnacentral:ncRNA from 1 species